rnacentral:lncRNA from 1 species
UCUCAUUUUUCCCGGGCUUUCGGUCAGCGUUUUCCUUUUCUCGCGGGUUUGGGCGCGCAUCGAACUCUGAAGGGUCGGGAAGGCCUGUCGUUGGAAUGUGGUUGAGUUCCAGGGAGUGUACAGGCUGGAGGAUGGGACAAGACCUAUCUCUGUAUCGAUCAAGCACGGCGUUGGUGUUCCAGCUCAUCACCAAUCCUAAGGAAUUCAAGUGCCUCCCAGGAUGAAUACAGGUUGUCUUGAUGGUGAUACAUUCAUCUGUCUUAAGAUCCCUGCUGAUCUGCUCAUGGUCAAACUCAUGGAAAGAGUUGAGAGUGGUGAGUACUUGUAACCUUGGUUAUAACUUGUCUCCAGUGCCAGUGAGGAGAGCAAGCAUCCUGUCUUAACCCCUGUCCUAGCCCCAGAGCCAGUAAUGGUGAACCCACUGGGGCUAACAGGGAGAGAGGAUGAAAACAUGUUCCGUAAGGAACUGUCUGAGGUACAGCAACUGCCAAUGGGUAGCAUUUGUUUAGCUUCCCUUGGCUUACAUAUUAGCUGGGAUCCUUUUGGUUUUUUAAGGUACUCUACUGAUUUCAUGAUCUUCUCAUUCAGGGGCACCUUGUUCCUGCAUCCUCAAAGGAGCAUCUUGUUCCUCCAUUUAAGCUUCCAGAGUUAAAAGGUUAGUUGAUUAAUGUCACCAUAAUAUAUGCCACCAAGUAAGCAGUUUCUGUGAUGAAUCAAACUAGCUCACUAUGAACUAACAAUGAAAAGAUAUGAACACCUGAGAAACUGGAGAACAGAGCAGUGGGAUACUGUCUGCUAGGAACUUAAUAUCACUUACAGUUUUGUCCUUUCCUAGGUACCUGUACCAUUUAGCGGCUUGUUCACUCAAAGGUGAGUGAUUUAUAUGUUGGUGCAUACCGUGUACUGAGGGAGAAAAUGCCUUUUUAGGCAUCUACACAUGAUGACUUACAUGGAAUCUCGUUCGGCUGAUGAUUUGCUGUUGAGACUCGGAAAUCUGAUUUUUUUUUUCUUUUAAGAACUUAAGUGGGAACAAAUUUUAAUGUAGGAAGUAAGCAUUACUGACUCAUUCUUGUUUUGUUUUAGAUCCAUCUUGUCUGGAGCCUGAGGAUGAUUGGAGGUGAAAGGUGUAAGCCAUACUCUGCUCAACUCCAGUCUGAAACUGAGGUUUAAAGAACACGUACUUAACACACGGGUGGGUAAGUAUCCAUUCACGUACUUGUGUUAAAUAUCAGACUAACUAUAUAAAUACAAAAGUACAUUAGAGCAGCCCUUUUAGUGUUAACUGGUUGAAAGGAUAGUAUGUUCUAAGUCCGUUUUAGUAACUAAGUCCGUUUUAGUAAGAACCCUAAACUGUUCUUUUUCUCUGCAGGAAUCCAACUCUUGGAGGACAUCAGAAGUGGAAUUUUCUUAUACAACCUACCUAUUCAAAUUAGCAUAUAAUCUUUCUAGCCUUUCUAAAUAAAUAAAGGGAUUUUUUUGUA